AUGCUUCCUCGUCCAACAGACCUAACAGACGCUGGAAUCACCCAGACAACUAGAUACGGGAUCACACAGACAGCAAGAAAAAAGGUCCUGGAGUGUUCUCAGAAUAUGAACCACAAUUGGAUGUUCUGGUAUCGACAGGAUGCAGGACAGGGAUUGAGGCUGAUCCAUUACUCAGGAAGUGUUGGCAGCUCUACCGAAGGAGAUGUCCCCAAAGGAUACACUGCCUCCCGAAAUAAGAAAGAGCAUUUCCUCCUGACGUUAGAGUUAACCAGCCCGAACCAGACCGCCUCAUACUUCAGCAGUGAACACAGCACUGCACAGCCAGGUGCUGCCUGCACAAAAGGGCAGUCAGGAAGUUGA